UUAUAUUUAAAUUUACAAAUUGAAAUUGUUAUGUGAUUAAGAAAUCAAUAUCUAAAAUUAUUUCUAUGAGUCGGAACAAAGAAUAAAUUAAAUUUGUAAUUUAAAAUAGGUGGAAAACCAUAUGACGGUUUCUUUAAUCAAAGAACAUGAGCAGCUUGAUAUGGUUUCGCUAUAGGCUUUCAUCGUUUCAUCCAUUUAGCUCUAUUCUUUUUUUGUGAAUGGUUUUGGAACCUCCAUCCAAACCAUCUUCCUCCUCAUAUUCAUCAGCAUGACCGAUAGCUUAAAAGAUCGUUUUAUAAUUGUUGUUGUGUAUGGAGUUGAGGUUUUGGUUAUGAGGGUAAUCGCCUUCACGACAUUAACUUUUGUUCAAUCAUUCAUUGGCCAUGAGAACAUUGUUCGUGUGAACUUUUUGCUGCCUCGUUACAAUCUCAAUUUACACACAUCAUCUCUUUAUCUUUGUGGUGAAUUUGAAUAAUCAGUAUUUGUUUUAAUUUAGAAUCUCAUUUGAUAUGUUUGUUAAAACAAAUGCUACUAAAAAAAAGUAAGAAAACCAAAAGGUGUGGACAAGUUUUCCAUAUGGUUGAUUCUAGCGACGUAAGGAAAUGCGGUAAUUUUGAGUGAAUAUGCCUUACUUCAAUUCAUUCAUGGCAGUAUGUUAUGUUCUAAUAGACUAGUUGAUACCCUUAAAAUAUGUAUAAUCUCUAAUAAGUUUUUUUCUUUAUUUCUCUAUAUAAUGAAUUAAUUUCAUGAUAUUCACAUUGGUAAACAUGUUUUAGGUGAUGUGAUUUGCACAUAAAGGUUUUUUCAUAUGUAUAUGUUUUGCUCAUGUUUUGCAUAGUUAUGUUAUACAUAAUAAAUAAUUCAUUAUCAUGUAAAAGAUAAAACCAUGAUUUUUUUUGUAAGAAAGGUUUUACUUUUUCUCUUCCUUGUGAUUUUCAAAACUUCCAAUCUAUUAUAAAAAAA
rnacentral:sRNA from 1 species